rnacentral:rRNA from 1 species
AAUAGAUACCCGGGUAGUCCACGCCGUAAACGAUGGAUACUAGCUGUUGGAGGUAUCGACCCCUUCAGUAGCGAAGCUAACGCGUUAAGUAUCCCGCCUGUGGAGUACGGUCGCAAGACUAAAACAUAAAGGAAUUGACGGGGACCCGCACAAGCGGUGGAUCGUGUUCUUUAAUUCGAUGAUAAACGAAGAACCUUACCAGGGCUUGACAUCCUUGGAAGCACUGCGAAAGCAGAGUGUGCCUUUUGGAACCAAGUGACAGGUGUUGCAUGGCCGUCGUCAGCUCGUGUCGUGAGAUGUUUGGUUAAGUCCAUCAACGAGCGCAACCCUUGUGAAUAGUUGUAUUUUUCUAUUCAGACUGCCCCGGCAACGGGGAGGAAGGAGGGGAUGAUGUCAGGUCAGUAUUACCCUUACGUCCUGGGCUAGAAACACGAUACAAUGGCUAGUACAAUGCGCAGCGAAACCGCGAGGUGGAGCAAAUCGCAUCAAAGCUAGUCCCAGUUCGGAUAAGAGGCUGAAACUCGCCUCUUUGAAGUCGG